rnacentral:rRNA from 1 species
GACGAACGCUGGCGGCGUGCUUAACACAUGCAAGUCGAACGGUGAAGCGCCGUCCUUGUUGGUGGGUGGGGAGGAGCGGCGGACGGGUGAGUAACACGAUAGUAACCUGCCCCCUCCUGCAUGACAACCGCAUGAAAGUGUUGCUAAUACGGGAUAUACUGAAUCUGUCGCAUGAUGGGUCUGGGAAGGUUUUUGUUUCGGUGGUAGAUGGACUCGCGGCGUAUCAGCUUGUUGGUGGGGUGAUGGCCUACCAAGGCGGCGACGGGUAGCCGGCCUGAGAGGGUGGACGGACACAGUGGGACUGAGACGCGGCAGAGACUCAUACGGGGGGCCGGAGUGGAGAAUACUGCACAGUGGGAGCGAGUGUGGUGGAGCGGCGCCGCGUGAGGGAUGGAGGCCUGCGGGUUGUGAACCUCUUUCGCGAGUGAAGCAGGCCUGCCUCGUUUGUGGGUGGGUUGACGGUAGCUGGAGAAGAAGCGCCCGCUAACUACGUG